UCCCUGGAGGGCUAAUGGUUAGGUCUUGGCUCUCUCACUGCUGUGGCCCAGGUUCAAUUCCUGGCCAGGGAA
rnacentral:tRNA from 1 species